CCUUCAAUUCACGUAAAAGCAAAAACAAGAGAAGUCAAACCCUCCUUCCCUCCUAUUCUUUUACGUGAACCAACCAAAACCCUCAAACCUUGCUUCUCUCCUUGCAGCCGCCGCACAGCCACCGCCGGACCGACAACCACCGCGCCGCCGGUCUGCAUCCCUGCUGUCACGCCGGUUAACGUAGCUCUUCCUCCCUUCCGUUAUUCCAUUUUCUCGGCCAACGUUCCUCUUCCUUCUUGCUUCCUGCGCAUUCAACCACCGCCAUGACCAGCGCGCACAACCACCAACGUUUGUCACCUACGCCCAGCCACGCACCACCGUGUGCGACUCUGCCGCCAGCCCUCUUCCGUCGGCCGCAGCCACCACUUCACCCAGCCGCGUCGACCCAUCAACCACCACUGUCACGCGCCACCUUGUGUCUGCCGGCAGCCCUUAUCUAUUCUUCUUUUGGUGGAGAAUUCUCCGUAGGCGACUUUUGAAUUAUUAAAGUGGUCUCGCAUUUUGUUUACACAAGGUACGUACAUACCUGUGUGCUUGGAAUGUGUGCUAAUUGUUGAAACCAUGUUGAAUCUUGUUGUUG